rnacentral:rRNA from 1 species
AUUGAACGCUGGCGGCAGGCCUAACACAUGCACGUCGAACGCGUGGCGGAAGGGUGAGUAAUGUCUGGGAAACUGCCCGAUGGAGGGGGAUAACUAAUGGAACCGGUAGCUAAUAACGCAUACCAUCGGAUGUGCCCAGAUGGGAUUAGCUAGUAGGUGGGGUAACGGCUCACCUAGGCGACGAGCCCUAGUUGGUCUGAGAGGAUGAACAGACACACUGGAGCUGAGACAAGGUCCAUGCGCCGUCGGGAGGAAGCAGUGGGGAAUAUUGCACGAUGGGCGGAAGCAUGAUGCAGCCAUGCCGGGUGUAUGACGAAGGCCUUCGGGUGGUAAAGUACUUUCAGUUGGGAGGCGUUACUCGCAGAAGAAGGACCGGCUAACUACGUGCCAGCGGCCGCGGUAAUAC